rnacentral:tRNA from 1 species
GGGUCAAUAGUUCAAUGGUUAGAGCCCGCCGCUCAUAACGGCGUAGUUGCAGGUUCAAGUCCUGCUUGACCCACCA